rnacentral:lncRNA from 1 species
CAAAUAAUAAUGCAUUUAUCAAGUUCAAAGUUCAGUAAAUUACAUAUCUUGCAGGUUAUAGACUGAAACUAAGCAUCAAUCCACAGGCAUCGUCAAAAGAUCGAAAGAGUUCAAAAUGGGCAAUAUCUUCAAUAAACUUUAACAAUGAUUGCAGAAAUCUUCCAGAAUUUUGUCCUCUUCCUUGCUACAUCUUCCUCGUUACAAUUCUCCAUUCAACAAAUGUGCGUGUGUUAGGCAAGCAAAUCUUAGCUUUGCUUGCACAUGUCAGGCUCUGAUAUAAAUGGAAUUUCAAAAUCCUUCUUACAACUCAGAUUCAUAGGUGCAAUAAAGGUCUAAACAUUGAAGAACAACUCUGGUUUCAGUCGUGCUUCUCUGCAAAAUUUAAUAAUUUUGCAACCUUGAGGCCUCAUAUAAGAUCCCUGACAAUUCUUUAGGCCUUCUGAUCUCAAUAUAUAUUUCCAAUGAACAGUCCUACAAAAUAAGGAGGUUAAUCCAUAUAAAUUGUCUCCAAUGGACUCAAUUCAGAAUAGCAAUAACUUUGGUGGAUACACUAUAUACUUUCUAACUGCUCGGUGAAAUCAUUUAUCAGGCAGCCUGAUGGCUUCCAUCUCCCAAAUUUUCGUACAAAACAUCACCAAAAAAAUUGUAAUUUCCCAAAAUUAUAUAUGACAAUAAAUAUAUAUCAAAAAUGAGGAAAGAAAACAACUUGUCCUAGUGGAAGGAAAAAUGAUCUGGUGUCGCCUUUCAAUUUACAAGAACCACCUCUUCUCCUUUUUCGUAGAAUUGAGCUUCAUAACCAGUUCUUCGCGCUCGGCUUCCACUUCAGCAUACUGGAGGCUCAUUUGAAGGAAUCGUUCUCUUAUAUCUUUUAACUCUGCCUCUAGUGAUGAUAUCUUGCCAUUGUCACUGAUUGUUGCAUCAUUAUUUCUUGGCAUUUCAUUGAAAAUUUCAGUUUGAUUUUUUUCCUCAUCCAUAAAUCUACAAAAAACGCAUGAUACAAGAUGAAUAGUGGGUAAAUGAGCCUUACUCUUACUGGUUAUGAACUUUCAUACUUCAUGCUGUUAAUUGUCGAAAAAUGCACAAAAUGCCCCUCAGUUCUAUAUUAGGGUAACAAAUAAUGCC